rnacentral:rRNA from 1 species
GACGAACGCUGGCGGCGUGCUUAACACAUGCGAGUCGAACGGUGAAGCGCCUUCCUUUUUGGUGGGUGUGGAUGAGUGGCGAACGGGUGAGUAACACGUGAGUAACCUGCCCCCUUCUUCUGGAUAACCGCAUGAAAGUGUGGCUAAUACGGGAUAUUCUGGGUCUGUCGCAUGAUGGGUCUGGGAAAGAUAUUGUUUCGGUGGGGGAUGGGCUCGCGGCCUAUCAGCUUGUUGGUGGGGUGAUGGCCUACCAAGGCGGUGACGGGUAGCCGGCCUGAGAGGGUGGACGGUCAAGCUGGGACUGAGACACGGCCCAGACUCCUACGGGAGGCAGCAGUGGGGAAUAUGGCACAAUGGGCGCAAGGCUGAUGCAGCGACGCCGCGUGAGGGAUGGAGGCCUUCGGGUUGUGAACCUCUUUCGCCAGUGAAGCAGGCCUGCCUCGUUUGUGGGUGGGUUGACGGUAGCUGGAUAAGAAGCGCCGGCUAACUACGUG